rnacentral:ncRNA from 1 species
UGAUAGCUAAGAAGCGUGAGGUUGCUGAUUGUCAGCAAUGGCGAUCGGGUUUUCCGUGGAGCGAAUGUCAAGUCGAAUUUGACGACAA